UCCUGCAGUUCUCACCUGGUGUCCCAGUGACGAUAAGCAGGGUUGAGUCUGGUCAGUAACUGGAUGGGAGACCUCCUGAGGAAAGCUAAGAUUGCUGCAGGAA
ensembl:rRNA 5S_rRNA 5S ribosomal RNA